CCGCGGUGUCCCGGGGCAUCCCCUCAAAUGGAAGCCAUCCUCCCCCGCUGUGCAAAGCAGUAGCAUUGGAGUACAUAGAUGAACGCAGACUGGAUGCAGUGGCCAGUGCAGACUUCAGUAUGGAGGGAGCCAGUGUGGCUGUUUCCAUUUUUAUCCCAGUGGCCAUAAUCAUAAUUAUCAUCAUGUCAAUAUAU